GGAUCUCUUUCUGGAGAUUGCUCUUCUUGGAGUCUUUUCCUGUAAGCCUAGGGCACAGUGUCAGUAGAGUUCAGAUUUGAAAGGAAUGGAGCAGCAUCCAGAGUGUUUGUUUUCAACUGUAUCCAGACAUGAGCAGUGAAGACUUCAUGAUCUUCGGUGAAGAAAUAAACAAAACAAAGAACUCUGCAGUUCUAAUAGCUAGUGUGUUGUGUUUGAGUUUCAUUUUAAAAGGAUUAAAUACUACAGAACAGGGACAAAACUCUCAAAAUCAUGACCCAACUACAUGCAUUAUCUGGCAGACUGGAAGAUAAUGACAGAUCAUUCAUAAAAUGAACUCUGUUUCUCUUAGUAUUUUAAAAUAAAACAUUAUUCUGCAUUGAGCACCUGAGACAAGAAGCAAUUUACAAGUGCUGAUACAUUGCUAUUCUCAAAGCAACAAGGCUGUCUACAUCAUCUUGUGCACUCUGCAUUAGGAUAUAAAGGAUUGUGCUAGGAUUAUAUACUGAGUGAAUGCUAGACUUUGAGCUUUUGCACUGCUUAGAAUUGAACACAUGAGAAGCACCUCAGUGUCUUUGUCAUCCCUUGCUUCACUACACUGAGGGCUUUAGCACAACUAGUAGAAGUAGACAUGACUUGGAUGGUGGUGUGAUGAAUGGGACUUGAAACACAGCACCAUUCGUGGAAUGGGUUGUCUUCAGUGAAGCCAGCCUGGGGUGGGCUAAAAGUUGUGCUGUGUUAUCCUUUGUGGCAUACUGACAAGCAGAUAAGGAUGGAAAGCAUAGCUGGUCCCCAGUGUGGAGUAACUUUUCUCACUCUCAC